GCCAUAUUUAAUGCAGAGACAGGUCCCCGGAUAUGGCCAUCAUGAAGAAAACCGUCGCGCCGAAAGCCGCCAAGCCGGCUCCCGCGGUCGAAACCCGCGAGUCCAUCGAAGCGCAGGUCGCCGCCUUCCUCCAGGCCGGCGGCGAGAUCCAGAAGAUCGCCAAGGGCGUCAGCGGCCAGGUCUACGGCCCGUCGCGGCAGAUCACCAUCAGCAAGAAGCGCUGAACGCCCGCCCCUCGCCGGGGACUACGAAGGGGAUGGCAGGCCGGCACGCAGAUGUGCCACGCUCCAUCCCCUUUUU
rnacentral:sRNA from 2 species